rnacentral:rRNA from 1 species
CGCGUAGGCGGGGAGGUAAGUCGGGUGUGAAAUCCCUCGGCCCAACCGAGGAACUGCGCCCGAGACUGCCUCUCUUGAGUCCCGGAGAGGAAGGUGGAAUUCCCGGUGUAGCGGUGAAAUGUGUAGAGAUCGGGAGGAACACCGGUGGCGAAGGCGGCCUUCUGGACGGUGACUGACGCUGAGGCGCGAAAGCGUGGGGAGCAAACG